UUCAGAACAGCAGGUGAACUUAGAUGCUGAAAAGGAUACCAUUAUCAAAGCGAAUGACGACAUACCAGUCAACGACACCGAUAAAUUCAGUAACAAGGACAAGGACGGUAAAGGGAUUGUCAAUAGCAAAAAUAGCAAAGAUUCUGCACCAUGUGGAGUUGGUAAUUCUUGUUUUGACACUGCAGUGAGUGGUCCUUUAUCUUUUCCAGACGAAAUACCCGAGACUUGUGAGGGUUUAAUGCCUGUGUCAAUUGGGUCUGAGUCUUUAAUUUUGAGUCAGAUACAUCAUUCUCCCG
rnacentral:misc_RNA from 1 species